rnacentral:rRNA from 1 species
AGAAUCAACGCUGGCGGCGUGCCUAACACAUGCAAGUCGCACGAGAAAGGGGAGCAAUCCCUGAGUAAAGUGGCGCACGGGUGAGUAACACGUGAAUGAUCUACCUCCGAGUGGGGAAUAACUGAGAGAAAUCUUAGCUAAUACCGCAUAAUACCCACGGGUCAAAGCAGCAAUGCGCUUGGAGAGGAGUUCGCGGCCGAUUAGCUAGUUGGCGGGGUAAUGGCCCACCAAGGCGAUGAUCGGUAUCCGGCCUGAGAGGGCGCACGGACACACUGGAACUGAAACACGGUCCAGACUCCUACGGGAGGCAGCAGUGGGGAAUUUUGCGCAAUGGGGGAAACCCUGACGCAGCAACGCCGCGUGGAGGAUGAAGCCCCUUGGGGUGUAAACUCCUUUCGAUCGGGAAGAUAAUGACGGUACCGAUAUAAGAAGCCCGGCUAACUUCGCGCCAGCAGCCGC